AGUCUCUGGGGAUGGCUGGGAUCCACACGUCUGGCUGGGCGGCCGGGCCGGAGAGCGGUGGGGAAUGGAGUCACAUCCUGCUGGCGCCGGGCACUCGGGGGGUUCCCAGGGCUCAGGGCCGGGCCCGUCCCUUUAACAUCUUUACCGAGGGGCUGGGCGAGGGGACGGGGCGCACCCCCAGGCGGGUUGCAGGGACACCAGGCUGGGGGACAGCUGAUGUGCCGGGGGCAGGAGGCUCUGCAGAGGGACCUGGGCAGAUCAAUUAGUUGUUCCUAGGUCAGGGAAGGGAUUUUUGGAUUUUCAGUAGCCAACAGCCACAAAGGAAAUAAUUCACUAGCAAUUGUGUUUCCAUCUACCUAUCUCGUAGAUAAGGGUAUCUCUUAUCUUUCCUUGCAGGUGCCUAUCUUAGUGUAUUACUGUAUGUAGCCUUUUGAUUCAGAGAGAAAUUUAUUAACUUACCAACUUUCCAGUAAAUGAUGAUCAUUGGAAGUUCAAAUGCAAUGAGGUUUUGUUUUAUAUUUAAGCAUUUAAAACCGGGGAACUGCACUGCAAUAUUCAACUCCAGAGACGGAUUGACAGCUUUUGAAGUACUGGUGUGGUUGUGGAGGUGGUGGGGUGGGCAGCAGGACAUCCGUAGCAAUGCACACUUACAUUGUACUGUGCUGAAAAGAAACAGAAGAAAAACUGCAUCAACAGACAUCAGCUGUUAAGAAGGGAUUAAGCUCUCCAAACAGGCAAAGGAUACAUUACGAAUUUUCGGAGCUGCGGUGAAAGAAUUCAUAUCUUGAUCUUAAAAGAGGAGAAAACACACUGAAUUUGGACUUGGGGAAUUUAACAAUCUCUCAUGACAGAACUGGGAGCUUUACUGUACAACACCAAGACUCGCAGGAUAUGCUCAAGGUGUGACUUUCUCUAGCUACAAGAAAAAAUCAAACUGAUUUUCUGAACUUUGGGGUGAUUUUAGGCCCAUAGGUCAGCCAGUGUUAAUCCCAAAGUCUCAAUGGAGAUAGAACUGCAGCUCCAAAAGAAGUUUUGUAGCAUCCUGUGGAGAUGCCUCAAGCUCACUCUUAUACUUACUCUCUCCCACUUCUCCCACCCCCCAUGUACUUGCUCACACCUUUCUUUUCCCCGGUUGCUCGCACUCGCAUUCUCCUCCCUGCUUUUUUCACAGCAAAUUCCUUCUGUGAUACAGGUCUUCAGUGAAUUUGAAGUGACAUUUGAGAUAAUGCAUUCAUAAUCCUAGAGCUUUUUUUUUUUUUUCCUCCGUGGAAUUUAAGGUAUUCCGAAUACAGGAUUUAUUCUGACUAGGCCAGGUAGGCAUUGUUUGGCCGAGGAUUAAUGGAAACAUUCAGAGUUCCUGAAGUGGUUCCAGGUUAUUACAGUAAUCAAUUACUUGUGUUUCAGUAGGACCUACAAGCCUUGGUUGUGUUCAAGUACCAAACUAUUAGUGUACAUAUAUGUGUAAGCCCUAUUUUGAGAAGGUAUGUAGAAACAUAUUUAACAGUGGAUGUUACCAGCCACAGUGAAAAUAGAAUUAUUGUUUCUUAGAGCUUGCAGUCAAGCGUACAGCAGGAGAGAAUGGAUCCUUGCAACAAACAGAAAGGAAAAGAAGAAUGUGACUAUACCCCCAUACAAUCUGGGAGUGGGAUUCAAUGUCUGGGAGUAUUAUUUUAUUACAAAACUUGAAUGAUGGGCUGCUGAGUGAUGACAAAUCUUCAAGUUUGCCCUACUGUAGCUCGGCUGGGAUCUCAGGGACUCAGCUGUGUGGUCCCAGCUCCUGGUUUUAUUCUCUUUUUUAUAAAGUAGGUGUGUGAUUCUAUUAACUUAUUAAAAUCAGACAUGUAACAUCUCUUUUGGAGCCAUCAUCUAAAUAGAGACAUAAAAUCACUUCACUGGGCAGUGCUAAUACUUGCUAUCAUCCAAGAGCUUUGUUAUCAUUUGUCCUAUUAGAUAUGCAGAACUGAAUUGAGUUGGGAGACAAACAGAAUCAAGCAAAAUUAUUUUUUAAAAACUGUAUUGCUGGUAUAACAUAAAUGUAUGAAGUAUAUGGAAGAAUAAAUAUGUGUAAUUA